GGAGGAGAAGCCACAGAACCCUGGGACCUCCGUUCACCGCUUCGGCCUCCACCGCAGGCACUUGGGGAAACUGCACAGAUCUCUGGGUCCGCCUAUCUCCCACUGCCAUCCCUGCAAAGAGAUAUCCCCCGGAUACUCACAUGGGCUCGAGAGUCUUGCUGAGCCAGGACUUGAGUGCCUCGAAGUUUUCAAUGAUCAUUUUAGAAACCAUCCACAGCGGCCCUAAGGCCCGUCACACUCCUCCGCCCGCCCAGGUCGCGGCCGCUACAGCCGCCGCUGCCCCCGCCCCCUCCUCCGCGCGCCGCCCGCGUGGGCCGCGGUGGGAGGCGCCGGUGGCAGGUUCCCGCGGGCCCCGGUCGGCGAACAGCUCUGCAAGGACCGCCGCAGGCCACAAGUGCACGGGGUGCCAGGAGCUCCCCGUCCCCGGCCCCCAGCCCGGGCUGAAACAGCAACGGUUUGCCCGGGCCCUCCCCCUUCCCUCUUCCCCAGCAAAUCUACCCAGACCGGAAGCGCGACACGCGCUUAGACCCGAGCCUUCUCUCAGCCUCGGGACCAGGUGCUUGUUGGCUACGUCGAAAAGGCAAAAGUAAAGAAAGCGAAGGCGAAGGGCAGCUCAAUGGGAACGAUUCAGGGGGUCUUCCCGGCUCCCAGCACCCCCAAGAAGAUGGCUGCCGGUAAAUCUCGCGAGAAUUGAUGAAGUCUCGCGGUGGCUCCCGGAGCCUGCUGGGAGAGACGUAAGGUAAUUCAAGAGGAAACGCUUGAGCAAUUACUGAUGUUGUAAACUGGGAUCAG
rnacentral:lncRNA from 1 species